UGCAGACAGGCCAUCACACAGCCCCUCCCCUCACUAGCAGCCGAACACAUUAACAGCAAACUUGGUGAAACAUUUUAAAGACUCACACUCCGUCUUCAUGAAGAAUUCGAAGAGCCCAUCAAACACCUCAAAACAUAAAGGAAGGGAAGCAUUCCGUGGCCAGGAGAAGAAGUGGCUUGGAAAAUACAUCUGCAGAACUUCACGGCCAUUAACAGCCAUACGUCACUGCAGAUUACACAGCAAACUGUAGGAUAGGAGCGAGCAACAAGUCUCAUUAUGCGCAGCCUCACCAACUCCCACCCAGCUUCUGCCUCUCACAGAGACUACAGUGGUUGUAAUGUUUGUACUUUCAGGACGUCCUGUGACAUAUCUGCAUGCAUUCAGACUCACGCAUUCUCUUUAUCUGCUGUUCCUCUCCUUCGGCUAGCUUUCCCGAAGAGGCAUGAAAUAAAAAUGACCUUGAUGACACAUUUCUGCAAUACUUUCCCGAGGAAACCACGCAAUGAAAUUUUUAUGCCAGGCCUCUAAAUGCACCUAUCCCGGGGUAUUUUUAAUGUCACUUCUGCACCCUGUCAUUCCUGACAGGCUUGUUGGUUUUCAUGCCGCCAACCAUUAAAGUGCUGUUUUUUCUUUUUUCAGUGCAAGCCUGCAUCUGGACCGCCUUGGCCGCAUCAGGCAGGCAGGCAAAUAUCAGUCAAGCGCAGCAAUUAUCAUUAACAUUUGUGUGUCAUGAGCUGAAGCCAACGGGCUGCUAAUUGUGCUUCAGUUUGCCUCUGUAUAAUUAUGCGUCUUUGUAUGAAAAGUUUUAGGCCAUUUGGUAGUUAAAUUACACGCACAAUAUUUUUUAACUCUCUUAAAUAUUUAUGCUUGGAUUCUCAGGAGAGUCUCUGUUCUCCGUUUUGGGGUUUCGAGGCGAUACCGUGCACUGCUGUUCAAAAAAUAAGACGGAGCUGAGGAAUAAUCCCCAAUCCUGAACCCUUUUGAAAGUGAAGUGUUUCUCCUUUUUCUCGCUGCUGACCUUUAGAAUAAGUUCAGCGCUCGUCAAGGCGGAUGACAAGCCUGUGCAACAGAUUACACACAGAGAGUCACUGGAGCUGCUCACUCAGACAUAAAAACCUAAUGCUGAAUGAACAAUGUAGGUAGGCACGCCAGCGGAUUGAUGCUCAUGUGCAGCACAUGGUCUUGCCCUGCCUGGUGUUAACAUUAUAUUGACACAUUUCCUCCUCCUGGUGCCUGCAUUAAUUUCAGGUUCUUUUUCUGAGGAUGGAAAACUCUAACAGAAUCCCUUUCAGUUAUCAUUUUGAAGAGCCGUUUCGGUUUAGCAUGUCAGAUGUGCUGAAAACGCACAGAUGCCCACAUCUAUAAAACAUAUUAAACUGGGCUUAUAUGGCAUUUGCUGGCCAUUGUAGACUCCAGGCCUGCACAGACCCACAGACACAGAAUUAUGUAGUGACUGGCAGAUGCACUGAUUGAAACCAUUAGUGACAUAAAGGCUGAUUCACUACAGUAUGAGGCAACAAAGUGGCCACAUGAGAGGGACUAGAAUGAAAACAUCUUUGUUCCUGUUCACUUCAGUGGAAAUCCUAAAAAGGACUUAGACGGAUUCCUGGGGGCCGCCGUAGGUGGUCAGCAGUAGCAACGGCAGCGGAGGCGGCGGCGUAAUCAGCCUCAAAUCCGCAGGGAUUAUUGAAGGGAGGGUCAGCGCUGGAGGAUUACUAAACAUCUGCACCGAUCAGUGAGACGCUCACACACACACACACACACACGCAGAUUACUUUCGCUUCCACCAUGAUAGUCCCACAACAAAGUAGACAGGCAAAUGGGAUCAGCAGAGGGUGAAAUUCAGAGAAGGCAAUCCCGCCCCGCCGCAUCCCGUAACACAGCGUCAGGGCUUUAAUGUAAUCUGGGAAAAGUUGGGAUGCGGAGCGGGAUCUGUUUGUUUCUGAGCUCCCACUCACAGCUCGGGAGCUCAGCAGCUGGGCUGCUGGAGGUUUAACUUGACAAAUGCUGAAGUAACCAUGUGAAAAAGAACACACUACUACUUGUACUACUACUACAACUGCUCCCACUCUUAUUAACCGCACA